GGAAUUAUUGGGCGUAAGCGCGCGCAGGUGGUUUCUUAAGUCUGAUGUGAAAGCCCACGCCUCAACCGUGGAGGGUCAUUGGAAACUGGGAGACUUGAGUGCCGAAGAGGAAAGUGGAAUUCCAUGUGUAGCGGUGAAAUGCGUAGAGAUAUGGAGGAACACCAGUGGCGAAGGCGACUUUCUGGUCUGUAACUGACACUGAGGCGCGAAAGCGUGGGGAGCAAACAGGAUUAGAUACCCUGGUAGUCCACGCCGUAAACGAUGAGUGCUAAGUGUUAGAGGGUUUCCGCCCUUUACUGCUGAAGUUAACGCAUUAAGCACUCCGCCUGGGGAGUACGGCCGCAAGGCUGAACCUCAAAGGAAUUGACGGGUGCCCGC
rnacentral:rRNA from 1 species